rnacentral:rRNA from 1 species
CCUACGGGGGGCUGCAGUGGGGAAUAUUGGACAAUGGGGGCAACCCUGAUCCAGCCAUGCCGCGUGUGUGAAGAAGGCCCUCGGGUUGUAAAGCACUUUCAGUGAGGAAGAACGCCUGUUGGUUAAUACCCAUCAGGAAAGACAUCACUCACAGAAGAAGCACCGGCUAACUCCGUGCCAGCAGCCGCGGUAAUACGGAGGGUGCGAGCGUUAAUCGGAAUUACUGGGCGUAAAGCGCGCGUAGGUGGCUUGAUAAGCCGGUUGUGAAAGCCCCGGGCUCAACCUGGGAACGGCAUCCGGAACUGUCAAGCUAGAGUGCAGGAGAGGAAGGUAGAAUUCCCGGUGUAGCGGUGAAAUGCGUAGAGAUCGGGUGGAAUACCAGUGGCGAAGGCGGCCUUCUGGACUGACACUGACACUGAGGUGCGAAAGCGUGGGUAGCAAACAGGAUUAGAUACCCCUGUAGUC